rnacentral:RNase_P_RNA from 1 species
CCAGCUGGCCGGGCGGCCGCACCCGCAAACGCCGAAAGGCCGCGGGUGAGGAAAGUCCGGGCUCCAUGGAGACACGGUGCCGGUUAAUGGCCGGCGGGGGCGACCCCAGGGAAAGUGCCACAGAAAGCAAACCGCCACGACUUUGUCGGGGUAAGGGUGAAAGGGUGGGGUAAGAGCCCACCGCGCGACUGGCAACAGGAGCGGCACGGUAAACCCCACCGGGAGCAAGACCGAAUAGGGGCGGUGCGAGGGGAAACCCUCGAGGGCUGUUUCCGGCUCACCGUCCGGGUAGGU